rnacentral:rRNA from 1 species
CACGUAGGGGGCAAGCGUUGUCCGGAUUUAUUGGGCGUAAAGAGCUCGUAGGCGGCUUAGUAAGUCGGGUGUGAAACCUCCAGGCUCAACCUGGAGACGCCACCCGAUACUGCUGUGGCUAGAGUCCGGUAGGGGAGCGUGGAAUUCCUGGUGUAGCGGUGAAAUGCGCAGAUAUCAGGAGGAACACCCGUAGCGAAGGCGGCACUCUGGGCCGAUACUGACACUGAGGAGCGAAAGCGUGGGGAGCGAACAGG